GUGUACGUACAAGCAGUGGGAGCACCCUUUGGGUGUGACUGCGUACCUUUUGUAUAAUGGGUCAGCGACUUAUAUUCUGUAGCAAGGUUAACCGAAUAGGGGAGCCGGAGGGAAACCGAGUCUUAAUUGGGCGUUAAGUUGCAGGGUAUAGACCCGAAACCCGGUGAUCUAGCCAUGGGCAGGUUGAAGGUUGGGUAACACUAACUGGAGGACCGAACCGACUAAUGUUGAAAAAUUAGCGGAUGACCUGUGGC
rnacentral:rRNA from 1 species